ensembl:lncRNA
AAAGGGGUCCAUAAGAGCCCUUGCCUCAAGCUAUGAGAAGUUUCAGAGAGAAGAUGGCAAUCUGUGGACCAGGAGGCAGGCCCUCAUCAGACAUGGAAUCUGAACACCUCUUGAUCAUAGAGUUCCUAGCCUCCAGAACUGUGAGAAAUACAUUUCUGUUAUUUAUAAGCCACUAAUCUAUCAUUUUCUGUUAGAGUAGCCCACAUGGGCUAAGACAGAACAUUUUCUUAAGGAAAAAAAAAAUUUUAUACAUCAGAAUAUACCUAAAGCAAAAAUAGCAAAAUGUUUAUCAUUAUAUCAUUUAAACGGUAUUGACUUGAUAUUCAAAGCACAGCCAUAAAUGCAUGCAAAGUAAAGCAUCAAGUAUUAAGGGGAAAAUUUGGUCCAGAGACUUUUAUAGUUACUCUAAAACAUCUUUGCUUUAUUGUGAGAAAUUAUAAGAAGUUUGGGAAUAUAUGUAUGCCAUAAAUUUUACACUGUAGCUCUGGUGCACAUGUUCCUUUCAUGGAAUUUGUUCCAAAUGAAAAGCUAGAAAACUGAUUUCUCUCAAUAAAAAUGACUGUAAUUGAAUUUGGUAACUGCUCUCUUGAAAGUAACUUUUUGAGCCUCCUUUAGAAGACUAUCCCAAUAUUAAUGCAAACAUUAGCAGGUUUAUUUAGCAAGGAACAAUAUCAAAUAUCUGUUUUUCAUAACUAUCAACAAAAAGGCAAGUACAGUAAAAAGUUGAGGACAGAAAUACUAGUAAAUAUGAAUGGUAAACCAACUCAGACUCAUGAUACCUUAAUAUUAAUUUUCAUCAAAUUUGUGAUUUGAUCAAUUACUGAAUUCCCACAAAAUAGAAAUACAUAUUUUCCAUCAAGUUCUAAGCCUCAUAUAUUCCUAAAUUCUGCAAGUGUUAAAUUUGCUAACAAGAGUGAAUAAAUACCCCAAGUAUCAAUUUGGGGCCGGAUGUCCUGCUUAAAUUAGUUGAGUGGAUUCUUGCUCAACAUGUAUGUUAUUAAAACUUACUCCUUACAAGUUAAAUGACAUAGAGAAAGCAAUCAAUUUAAUAUAAAACAUGGAACAAGCUACAGUCCAAAUGACCUGGUACCUCCCAAUAAAUCUACAACAUUAAAAAAUUAAAGCAACUUGAGAAACAUGAAAACAAAAUGCAGUACUUGAGCUUUACUUAUGUCUUGAACACAAACCAACUUUAAGAACUUACUGUUAAAUGUGUUAGGUAUAGUAAUACUAGACGGUUAAAUUAAAAAUCUUUACUGGUUAGAAUUACAUACUGAAAUAUAUAUAUAUAUAUGCAAAUAUAUAUAUAUGCAAAAUGACAUGAUUUCUGAGCUUUGCUUUUUAAAACACUCCAGAAAGAAAAAAGAGAAGUGUGAACGUGUGGGCGUGUAUGAAGAGAGAUGAGGAUAGAUGGAACACAACUAAUAAAAUAUUGAUAACUGUUAAUGUUUAUUAUACUAUCCUCUCUAUAUUGUGUAUGUUUUGAAAUAUCCACUAAAAAAUAGUAACAACUAUAUCCUUAAAUUCAUGUAGUCUUUUUAUCUUCAGAAGUCUUCCCUGGUGGCUCAGAUGGUAAAGAAUCUGCCUGCAAUGGAGGAGACCAGGGUUCGAUUCUUGGGUUGGGAAGAUCCCCAGGAGAAGGGAAUGGCUACCCACUCCAGUGUUCUUGCUUGGAGAAUCCCAUAGACAAAGGACCCUGAUGGCUGCAGUCCAUGAGGUCACAAAGAGUCGAACAUGACUGAGGGACUAUUAUACACAUGUAGUCUUUCAUCUUCAGAAGUUAACCAAUAAUUGUUGCACUCUAAGAAUUUGUUAUUUGUCUCUAUCCUCAGUUUUAUCUUUAGCGCUACUUCUGUUCAAACUAACAGUAAGUAAUGCAAUAAAACCUGAGAGUCUGGAUUGAUGCUGUAGCAUAAAUGUAUCUUUAAGUGAGGGAUAGGCAGAUAUGUUAUAUUCUUUUGUAGGUCUCAUUCACUCGAUUUGCCUCUUUCCAAAAAAAACCACUGAGAAACCAUUUUAAUGGUCAGACCUGGAAAUUUCUUCAUCCAUUUAUCUAAGUCAAAGAUAUCCACUCAUCACCAUAUGUGACCAGACAUGGUUUUAAAUGGAGCCCUUGAAGCAAGCAGAUGGAAACCAAGGAUAUUUCAGAGACAUGUUAAUACCUCGAUGGAUGAGUAGAAUAUAGUUAUAAAUGUACAAAUGCAUAUGAGUAUUCUACCAACUAGAAAUGAAGAAAAUACAAUUUUCAUAGCUGGAAGGAUCUAUGUUAGCAUUUUGGCCAUCUUAUUACAUGAUUUGGUGACCAAGUAAAAAACAUGAAGCUCUUUGAAACAUCUAGAUUGCAUGCACUUAUUGGUGAAAGCACUCUAUGAGUUAGAACACAGAAUGUCAUUGAUGUAUGCUGUAUAUUAAAAGGAUAUGGUAUUAAAAAUCAUAGUAGAAAGGGAAUACUGAGGAUUUUUUAUAAUAUUGGUAAAUUCUGACUCGGCCCUUGGUCUUGAUACGUGUGUGCUAAGUUGCUUUAGUCAUGUCCAAUUCUUGGUGACUAUACGGGCUGUAGCCCCCCAGGCUCCUCUGUCCAUGGGGA